GCGUGGGUGAAGAAGGCCCUAGGGUUGUAAAUCCCUUUCAGCGGGGAAGAUAAUGACGGUACCCGCAGAAGAAGCCCCGGCUAACUCCGUGCCAGCAGCCGCGGUAAUACGGAGGGGGCUAGCGUUGUUCGGAAUUACUGGGCGUAAAGCGCGCGUAGGCGGACCUGUAAGUCGGGGGUGAAAUCCCGAGGCUCAACCUCGGAACUGCCUUCGAUACUGCGGGUCUCGAGUCCGGGAGAGGUGAGUGGAAUUCCUAGUGUAGAGGUGAAAUUCGU
rnacentral:rRNA from 1 species